ensembl:rRNA 5S_rRNA 5S ribosomal RNA
GUCUAUGGCCAUACCACCCUGAACAGGCCAGAUCUCAUCUGAUCUCAGAAGCUAAGCAGGGUCGGGCCUGGUUAGUACUUGGAUGGGAGAAAGCUAAAUUUCAGAAGGACUGAUAGCUUUGUAGA